rnacentral:rRNA from 1 species
CCCUUAGACGUUCUGGGCCGCACGCGCGCUACACUGACCAGUGCAACAAGCAUCCGUCCUUGGCCGACAGGCCCGGGCAAUCUUUGAACGCUGGUCGUGAUGGGGAUAGACUUUUGCAAUUUUUGGUCUUCAACGAGGAAUUCCUAGUAAACGCAAGUCAUCAACUUGCAUUGAUUACGUCCCUGCCCUUUGUACACACCGCCCGUCGCACCUACCGAUUGAAUGGUCCGGUGAAGCCUCCGGAUUGGCGCGCACCUCGGUGCCGCCGAGAAGUUGGCUAAACCUUACCAUUUAGAGGAAGGUGAANUCGUAGCA